GACGAACGCUGGCGGCGUGCUAAUACAUGCAAGUCGAACGCUUCUUUUUCACCGAACUUCGGUUCAUCGAAAAAGAGGAGUGGCGAACGGGUGAGUAACACGUGGGUAACCUGCCCAUCAGAAGGGGAUAACACUUGGAAACAGGUGCUAAUACCGUAUAAUGCUUUUUCUCGCAUGAGAGCAAGCUGAAAGGCGCUUUUGCGUCACUGAUGGAUGGACCCGCGGUGCAUUAGCUAGUUGGUGAGGUAACGGCUCACCAAGGCCACGAUGCAUAGCCGACCUGAGAGGGUGAUCGGCCACACUGGGACUGAGACACGGCCCAGACUCCUACGGGAGGCAGCAGUAGGGAAUCUUCGGCAAUGGACGAAAGUCUGACCGAGCAACGCCGCGUGAGUGAAGAAGGUUUUCGGAUCGUAAAACUCUGUUGUUAGAGAAGAACAAGGAUGAGAGUAAAAUGUUCAUCCCUAGACGGAUCUAACCAGAAA
rnacentral:rRNA from 1 species